CUGAGGCGUGACGACGAGGCACUACGGUGCUGAAGCAACAAAUGCCCUGCUUCCAGGAAAAGCCUCUAAGCAUCAGGUAACAUCAAAUCGUACCCCAAACCGACACAGGUGGUCAGGUAGAGAAUACCAAGGCGCUUGAGAGAACUCGGGUGAAGGAACUAGGCAAAAUGGUGCCGUAACUUCGGGAGAAGGCACGCUGACACGUAGGUGAAGUGAUUUACUCAUGGAGCUGAAGUCAGUCGAAGAUACCAGCUGGCUGCAACUGUUUAUUAAAAACACAGCACUGUGCAAACACGAAAGUGGACGUAUACGGUGUGACGCCUGCCCGGUGCCGGAAGGUUAAUUGAUGGGGUCAGCGCAAGCGAAGCUCCUGAUCGAAGCCCCGGUAAACGGCGGCCGUAACUAUAACGGUCCUAAGGUAGCGAAAUUCCUUGUCGGGUAAGUUCCGACCUGCACGAAUGGCGUAAUGAUGGCCAGGCUGUCUCCACCCGAGACUCAGUGAAAUUGAACUCGCUGUGAAGAUGCAGUGUACCCGCGGCAAGACGGAAAGACCCCGUGAACCUUUACUAUAGCUUGACACUGAACAUUGAGCCUUGAUGUGUAGGAUAGGUGGGAGGCUUUGAAGUGUGGACGCCAGUCUGCAUGGAGCCGACCUUGAAAUACCACCCUUUAAUGUUUGAUGUUCUAACGUGGACCCGUAAUCCGGGUUGCGGACAGUGUCUGGUGGGUAGUUUGACUGGGGCGGUCUCCUCCUAAAGAGUAACGGAGGAGCACGAAGGUUGGCUAAUCCUGGUCGGACAUCAGGAGGUUAGUGCAAUGGCAUAAGCCAGCUUGACUGCGAGCGUGACGGCGCGAGCAGGUGCGAAAGCAGGUCAUAGUGAUCCGGUGGUUCUGAAUGGAAGGGCCAUCGCUCAACGGAUAAAAGGUACUCCGGGGAUAACAGGCUGAUACCGCCCAAGAGUUCAUAUCGACGGCGGUGUUUGGCACCUCGAUGUCGGCUCAUCACAUCCUGGGGCUGAAGUAGGUCCCAAGGGUAUGGCUGUUCGCCAUUUAAAGUGGUACGCGAGCUGGGUUUAGAACGUCGUGAGACAGUUCGGUCCCUAUCUGCCGUGGGCGCUGGAGAACUGAGGGGGGCUGCUCCUAGUACGAGAGGACCGGAGUGGACGCAUCACUGGUGUUCGGGUUGUCAUGCCAAUGGCACUGCCCGGUAGCUAAAUGCGGAAGAGAUAAGUGCUGAAAGCAUCUAAGCACGAAACUUGCCCCGAGAUGAGUUCUCCCUGAGAC
rnacentral:rRNA from 1 species